UUAGAGACGAUCCCUUAUUUGCAGGUUGCCCCCUAAGGAUUCGGUUAGAGGUUGACGUCCAGAGGAAAAUAGUUUUAUAUUUUCAGUAGACACCUUUUCAAACAUUUCAUCUAACAGAAGCGUUUUGUAGUUUGCGUAACGACAAAAGAAAAUAAUAAUAAUACAAAUGGAAAAAUAAAAGUUUGGCAAGCAAAACUUUAAUUCCAACUUAGUGACAGAAUGACACUUGCAGAGAAACUGAAGUCGACGUUGCAGUUUACGGGAUACCCCGCUGUAGCGGCUUGAGCACGUUGGAUAUGUGAGGAGACGAAGCACAAACCGUGGAUACAAAUUUUAUUCUUGGCUUUUUCGCGGAUUUUUGUUCGAAAUGGCUAUUUUUAUAAUGAGCAGACUAACACUUGUAGUCAUUACAGGUUUAGCUUUGUGCAGGUAUGCAUGUGCUAACCGGAAUUCUACAAGCAAAGCUGAACUUGAAGAGCUACUUUGUCAUCAGAUGAACAGAAAUUGCUCAGAAAUCAUUGGACUUGCAAAAAGAGGAGGACAUUUUUCAAAAUGUCCCAAAGAAUAUAAAGACUACUGCAUUAAAGGAAAAUGUCGGUAUGUAAUACAGGAGCAACAGCCAGCAUGCAUAUGUGAAGAAGGCUAUAUUGGAUCCAGAUGUGAAUUAAUGGAUUUUUUUUAUCCAAAGGGGAGACAAAAAACAGAUUAUAAUUGCAAGUCUUAUAGCAGCCAUGGUGCUGUUGAUAUUUAUUAUAAUAUUUAUUUGCAUAUGUGCACAUCGUCAAAAAUUCUGCCAUAAGAAAAAGAGAAAAACCAGAGAAAGUGUUGAAGAAGAAAAUAAUUUAAAUGCACUUUCCAAAGAUAACAAAGACAGUGUAGCAAUUAAUAUGGAAGGGACUAACAUUGAAAUGGAGACAACUAACAUUGCAUAAUACCAGGGGAGGUGAUUUUGGGAGGAAGACAUCCAUGGGUUUUGAGAAUCUGUGCUUGAAAUCAAGUGGAAUGCCUUGUUUCAUGAUGGUUUUAUCACUUGUCAAUCAAGAGGAACAGGCUGAACUUAUUCUUAUUGGGCAACAUGAAGAUACCUGCUGGCGGGAUCCAUAUUGUUGAAUGCAGUUGGAUGCAGUUAAUUGACUGUAUUAUGAUGCUUUAAAGUGUUGUAUACUGUAUCAAUAUUUCUAAAUUGCUUAUUUGCAUUUGAUGUCACUGAACUGUUCCUCACCCCAUACCUUUUUUAGUUUCAAUUAUUGUGUGAAAGAAUUGAAACAUUUGAUACAACUUACCUGUAAUUCUUUGCAAGAUUAAUAAUGGAAUUUAGCUGUUCAAUGAAUUCUAGCAAAGACUGAAUUUCUGAGCCUUAACUUUGUUCAUAUUGAAGAUGGAUUGUGCAGUUAUGUUAUUCAUGCUUUCUAUACAUAUUCAGCUUUUUUUUUUUUUUGCUAAUGAUAAUGAAGUCUGAUUUCUAUUUUGUGAGGAAGAUCAUAUAUUGAUGACAUACUAGCACUAUACUUCAUUUCAAAAGGUAACAGCUGCAUUUUUAAAUUUUAUUGAGUUUUAUUGCAUUUUUUAUUUUACUGUUGCUUUGUUACUAGUGGCACUUAUAUGCAUAAAUUGUAAAUAUGUCUGUAUAAGUAAAGCAGCUGCAGUUGUCUUUAUGAUAUAGACUACCAUGAAUGGCAAGUAAAAAAGUUGUUUUAUUUUAUAAUAUAUAACUGAUAAGUGCUUAAUCAAAUUAGGUACAAUCUGGAGAAAUUGUUUUACUGUAUUUUACUUGUUUAAUGAUUUCUUAAUAUUAUUUUAUAUGUUGUAACUGUAGUGGCUCCAUGAUUACUGUCACUUAGCUAUGCAGUAUUAUUCUUUAAUAUGACCUGAAGUAUACUUUCCAAAUUACAUUUUAUAUUUAUAGAGCUCUUGGUCUAUAUUUUUUCAUUAAGAUUCAUUAACAUUUUAGCUGUGUACUUAAAUGUAUUUUCAUUGUUAAAGGUCAGUCAAAUUAUUAUCAGUAUUAUUUAUUUAAGACUAUUUCAUUAUAAAAGCAAAGAACCAGAGUAGUUUACUUCAUUGAGAAGGUUCAGCCACAUCUCAAUAGGACUUAUAAAUUAAAUUAAAAUUGGAUUAGGUGUAUACAAUUGUAUCAUUAUGUUUUAUUAUAAAAAUUUUGGAAUAUGUAAAAUAUUUUAAGGUCAGUAAGCACUCAUCUACUAACAUGACUCUUGUUAGUAUGGUAUGUAUCGCUGUUGCAGUAGGUAUUGCUGAAAAGGUAUAAUUAUCAUAUUUCCAGUAUUCAGAAUAACACAUUUUUAUUUCAUAGGAAAGCUUAUUUCAGAUGUAAUAUUUUUAUAAUAAGGUACUAAUAACAACCACUAGCAUAUUUUAAAGUAAAUUUAGAGGCCUGUCUUUGAUUUAGUUCAAAGCUUCAUUGAGCAACAGAACAAAAAAUGGAAGGUUAAAAAUAUUUUUGCCCAGUAAUUACCUAUUAGCUGAAGCUGGUAAUACCAGUAAAUAUAACGUUGUUUUUUCCUUGUAUAAAAUGAUAGAUGAUUACACUACAGUUUAAAAAAAAAAACAAAAAAAACACUUUUUAUUCAAGUCAUUUAAAAUGAUAAUUAUCAGAGCAGCUGCCUCCGGAUUUAAACAACAUACAAUGAAUAAACACUGAGAAAUAAUUUGAAUAAUUUUAAAUUUCAAUAUGAAUUAUAUCCGUUAGAGUUUAUAACUGUGUAGUUCAAUAUUCCUAAGUAUCUAAAUGUUCACUUUGUGUUGUCAGUUUUAAAACAAUGCUGAUAAUUUAACCAGUACCUUUAAAGAAAUUGAAAUUACAUUUAAUAAUUAUGUUUAAUAUUAUUUUUUAUUGCUUACAGAACAUUUUCACUAAGCUAUUACAGUUUCAUGACUUCACUACAGUCAUUGUUUAAUAAAGGUGAAAGCAUGCUGACUUUAUACUUAAUACUGACUAUUAAUUUGUGCAUUUAAGUUUUUAUGUAGUUCAACUUCUUGUUUGUUCUGUAAAUUUAAAAGUACAUUAUUUGAAUAUGAAUAUAGCACUGAAAGCAGUACAAGAUAUUGGCUUGUUAAGUCUACACAGUCACAUUUUCACAUUACACAGAAUUUGAGGUUUUUAUAGCACAAGAUAAUUUGACACACAAAAAAAAACAAACACGUUUUCUUUACACACCGAUGUAUAGUUUUCAUUUAAAAGACUUACACAAUUUCACUGUGCACUUCAAAUAAUCAUAAAUCAUUGUUAGUUUUACAUUUUAAAAGCAUUACAAAAUAAGAAAGUUUGACUACCUGCUAAACCCAAUCUGUCUCAUAUACAGUGUUCAUUUUAGAUGUAUAGCCAGUAGGUAGGUGAAUGGAAGGUGUAAAUUAAUUUCAUAAUGUUUAAAAUACUGUUUGCUCUUUGUAAUUAAUUAAUAUAUGGAUACAUUCAUAAUUUAAAUGCAUAAUCUAAAAAGUGUAUUAUUUACUGCAAAUGUGUUGUUUUUCUGCUUUCCACAGACACUACUGUAAUGUGCUCACUAUAUUUUUUUUAUAAAGCAAAGAUUUAGUAAUUAUCUUAAAUAUUAAGGUUUUAUACCGUAUACUGUAUAU